rnacentral:rRNA from 1 species
GACGAACGCUGGCGGCGUGCUUAACACAUGCAAGUCGAACGGAAAGGCCCUGAUUUUGUGGGGUGCUCGAGUGGCGAACGGGUGAGUAACACGUGAGUAAACUGCCCUUGACUUUGGGAUAACUUCAGGAAACUGGGGCUAAUACCGGAUAGGAGCUCCUGCUGCAUGGUGGGGGUUGGAAAGUUUCGGCGGUUGGGGAUGGACUCGCGGCUUAUCAGCUUGUUGGUGGGGUAGUGGUUUACCAAGGCUUUGACGGGUAGCCGGCCUGAGAGGGUGGCCGGCGACAAUGGGCCUGAGAUACGGCCCAGACGCCAACGUGCCGCAGCGGUGGAGAAUAUUGCACAGUGGGCGGAAGCGAGAGGCAGCAGCGCUGCGAGCGGGAUGACGGCUUACGGGUUGUAAACAGCUUUCGCCUGUGACGAAGCGUGAGUGACGGUAAUGGGUAAGAAAGCACCGGCUAACUACGUG